rnacentral:rRNA from 1 species
UACAGAGGGGGCAAGCGUUGUUCGGAAUUACUGGGCGUAAAGGGCGCGUAGGCGGCCUGCUAAGUCGAACGUGAAAUCCCCGGGCUCAACCCGGGAACUGCGUCCGAUACUGGCAGGCUUGAAUUCGGGAGAGGGAUGCGGAGUUCCAGGUGUAGCGGUGAAAUGCGUAGAUAUCUGGAGGAACACCGGUGGCGAAGGCGGCAUCCUGGACCGAAAUUGACGCUGAGGCGCGAAAGCCAGGGGGGCAAACGGG